ACAGAGGUCCCGAGCGUUGUUCGGAUUCACUGGGCGUAAAGGGUGCGUAGGUGGUUGGGUAAGUCUGAUGUGAAAUCUCCGGGCUCAACCCGGAAAUGGCAUUGGAUACUAUUCGGCUAGAGGUUUGGAGGGGGGACUGGAAUUCUCGGUGUAGGAGUGAAAUGCGUAGAUAUCGAGAGGAACACCAGUGGCGAAGGCGAGUCCCUGGACAACACCUGACACUGAGGCACGAAAGCUAGGGGAGCAAACAGGA
rnacentral:rRNA from 1 species